UUCUCGCCUGUCUAAAAGCUUUCAAUCAGCUGGAUAUUUCUGAAACAAUUGUUUAUUAAUUUUAAUUUCAUUUUUAAUUCUAGUUUCAAUCUUAAUCUAGUUAAUUCUUCAUCGGUAGGCUGUUAAUCUUCAUGUUUCUGGGUUCAAUCUUUUGGGAUUAAAAGGUAUUCUUUUGGAUUGUUGUUGAGUUUAUAUAUUUAAUAUUCUGUUUUAAGUGACAUCUUGGAAAUUUGCUGAUAUAAAUUGUAAUUAUAACGAGGUUCAACUUGGUCGUUUUGAGUCAGUAAAACAAUGGCAACUUUACCAUGCUUUUUACCGUCAGAAGACAACAGAAUCUAUCCCGAGAAAACUUGAAACAGCACCUUAGAAAAGCCUUUAGGCCAUUGGUAAUCAAUCAAUUGGUUUACCUGUUUUAAACACGAAAACCACAAACCUUUAGACUCUUUACACUUUCACUUUUGACCCGGUAACUUAUGGAGAUUUUGGAAGGCUGGCAAAAAAACAAAAAAAGUAAAGAUGAAUUAAUAUGGUAAUUAGCAAGACACACAAAGAAGCAAGGAUGGAAAUUUCAAACAGGAACAAGAAAAAGGAAUUUACCUUCUCCUCUUAAACAGUAGCUUAACUCGAUAAUCAUCGAAGGAAUGAGAGUAAUGAUGAUGGUUAUGAUGGUUUUGAUACUCUUUACCCUUUACACCUUUACAUUCAUUCACCUAUUCACUCAGCUUAUUAACCGUUCCCUUAACGUUCCAGCAACGUGCCAAAUCUCUACGGAUUUUGAAAAAGCAUUUUUUUGUUUCUCCUUUGAGCUUCACUUGCUCUAAAGCUUAAACUUGCUCCUUCAAACAUGCAACUCAUCCUCCUCCUUUUCCUCUUCAUCAUCAUCAUCUUAACAUUAUCAUUAUUGUUAUUAUUAUUUUUAUAAUAUAUAUUAUGUAUUAUAAAAAGUGUUUCAUUGAUAAGUGAGAUGAUCACAAUUGUAACUGUAACAAUACAAAUUGUUAAGUACUUCUACUUGUCACUAUAAAAAUAAUUUAUCCCAAAGUGUACUUUUCAUCUUGUUCAUCUUUUACCUUCAUCAUGACGAAAGAUAAACAAAUCCCAUGAUACCUUGAUGAAACUCUCCAGUCUUUCAUUCAUCAAUCUUCAAUGAUAGUUGCCCAUUUUAUUUUAUUUCAUAUGUAUAUGCAUAUAACCAUCCUCAUCACCUUCAUCAUCAUCACCAACAUCAACAUCACAUUUACUCUUUAAUGAUGAUUGUUAAUGAUGAUUACUUUCUACUUAUGCAGUUAAAUUACAUGAAAAGUAUCAAAUUAGCUAAUCAGAAGGAUCAUUUGUGGGUAAAAAGCAAGGUGAUCAAAUGGACGAUAAUAAUUAAUACAAACAUCAAUAGAGUCAUUAAUACAUUGGUAACAAAUUAAUCUAAUAGGAUGGCAAUAAGGUUAAUUGUAAUACUGUGCCUUAUAAAGGAUGGAUUGGAUUAUGUUGAAAAUACAGGGAUGAAAAUCAAGUUUCAAGUUUACUCUGGACUGUUGAUCAGAUCAUUUCAAUGAUUCUCAGCAUUUCUCAUCUUUUCCCUGCUUUUUCCACUUUCAUCUUCUUCUUGGUUCCUCCACUUUGGUUUCCUGUUUUUUGCACAUCCAACAUCUCUGUCUAUCUCUGUUUCCAUUGUGAAUUAAAGUGGACCACGUUUAUUUCCAUCGGCAAAAUACUACGUUUAGACACUCAUGGGAAUUUGUUUCAUCUUAUAUUCGAGAGACAGGGAAAGAGAAACAUUCUGUAUUUCACCAUUGGAAUUUAUCUUCGCCAUCUUCAUCAUCAAUCCCAGAGCUAUUAUCAACAAACAAUUUGGUCUUAUUCCAGAGAGAAUCUUUGGUAAAGAAGAAAACUCCAUCAAAAUUGCUUCAAUAUCUCCAUACUUUCUCCUGUUCUGUGUAUGGAAAUUCCAUUAUAUAACUUUUUAUCUACUGUUGGAUAUUUAUUAUCAUCACACAUUAACAAAAAAAUAAAUCCACUUUUCCCUGGUUCAACCAAUUAACAGAUCAUCUUGCCUUUUCAUUGGAUUAACACGGUUAAAACCAUAUUAGGCUCACCAGCAUAGCCAAUUUUGAAACAUUUUUUACAUGAAAUGCAAAUCUAAUUACAGUCUUUUAUCCAAUCAUUAAGUGAGUAUUGAAAUCGCUAAAAGUUGAACCAAUCAAUCCGUUUUCUCAUCUUUACUUGGAAAUGGUCAUUUCUAUUAUAAAUACUUUUCCAUUCUUCAAGUAACCAUGUUGACCAUUCUUAUCUUGAUUAACCCCAAAAUCUGGAAUAAUGAUGAAAAGUAAAGUUAAUACUCAGUAAAAUAACUUGGAUUUUACUUGCCUGAUUCUUUUAUUAUCACCACAUAAUUAAACCAGGAUCAAACUCUA